GAUGAACGCUGGCGGCGUGCCUAAUACAUGCAAGUCGAGCGAACGGACGAGAAGCUUGCUUCUCUGAUGUUAGCGGCGGACGGGUGAGUAACACGUGGAUAACCUACCUAUAAGACUGGGAUAACUUCGGGAAACCGUAGCUAAUACCGGAUAAUAUUUUGAACCGCAUGGUUCAAAAGUGAAAGACGGUCUUGCUGUCACUUAUAGAUGGAUCCGCGCUACAUUAGCUAGUUGGUAAGGUAACGGCUUACCAAGGCAACGAUGCAUAGCCGACCUGAGAGGGUGAUCGGCCACACUGGAACUGAGACACGUUCCAGACUCCUACGGGAGGCAGCAGUAGGGAAUCUUCCGCGAUGGGCGAAAGCCUGACGGAGCAACGCCGCGUGAGUGAUGAAGGUCUUCGGAUCGUAAAACUCUGUUAUUAGGGAAGAACAUAUGUGUAAGUAACUGUGCACAUCUUGACGGUACCUAAUCAGAAAGCCACGGCUAACUACGUG
rnacentral:rRNA from 1 species